rnacentral:rRNA from 1 species
UAGAGUUUGAUCAUGGCUCAGAUUGAACCGCUGGCGGCAGGCCUAACACAUGCAAGUCGAGCGGCAGCGGGAAGUAGCUUGCUACUUUGCCGGCGAGCGGCGGACGGGUGAGAUAAUGUCUUGGGAAACUGCCUGAUGGAGGGGGAUAACUACUGGAAACGGUAGCUAAUACCGCAUGAUGUCGCAAGACCAAAGUGGGGGACCUUCGGGCCUCACGCCAUCGGAUGUGCCCAGAUGGGAUUAGCUAGUAGGUGAGGUAAUGGCUCACCUAGGCGACGAUCCCUAGCUGGUCUGAGAGGAUGACCAGCCACACUGGAACUGAGACACGGUCCAGACUCCUACGGGAGGCAGCAGUGGGGAAUAUUGCACAAUGGGCGCAAGCCUGAUGCAGCCAUGCCGCGUGUGUGAAGAAGGCCUUAGGGUUGUAAAGCACUUUCAGCGAGGAGGAAGGCGUUGUAGUUAAUAGCUGCAACGAUUGACGUUACUCGCAGAAGAAGCACCGGCUAACUCCGUGCCAGCAGCCGCGGUAAUACGGAGGGUGCAAGCGUUAAUCGGAAUUACUGGGCGUAAAGCGCACGCAGGCGGUUUGUUAAGUCAGAUGUGAAAUCCCCGAGCUUAACUUGGGAACUGCAUUUGAAACUGGCAAGCUAGAGUCUUGUAGAGGGGGGUAGAAUUCCAGGUGUAGCGGUGAAAUGCGUAGAGAUCUGGAGGAAUACCGGUGGCGAAGGCGGCCCCCUGACAAAGACUGACGCUCAGGUGCGAAAGCGUGGGGAGCAAACAGGAUUAGAUACCC